ACAAAUUUACAAACUCCGAAACACUUUUACAAAUUCUGAAACAAAUUUACAAAAACAACACCAAACGGAAAGGGAAUGUACCAAAAGCCGGAUCUGACCCGGAAGUGAUUGAGUGAGUGGUUUGUUUUGAAAGUACUGUACGGAGCGAGUAGUGUUGUGUAGUUUAUGUGGAGUUUUAUGAUGUUUUGCCCGUUUUGUGGAAACCAUUUGAGUCAGUUACUGCGGUUUUGCAUUUCGUGUGGACGGUCUCUGGAGUUUUAAAGGACACGGACCAGACGGAAGGACCAUAGCGCACCAGACGCACAGCUAAACAGCCGGAAAAUGCUAAACAAACAGAACAAACAUGCCCAACAUAUAAACAGUUCAUGGAGUACAGAAGCACCAAGUCCAAAGAACGACAGUCUUUUAACUGUGGGCCGAAAGAAAGACAUAACAUAAGAAAAAGAAAAACGUCCAAAUAAACAUAGGAUUGAUGGUGCCACACGGAACUGAUUUAAAACCUUUAAGAGGGAAAACACUCCCAUUAUUUACAGACCCAGAAGUAGCAGCACCUGAUCUGCUGAAACAAGCUGUGCAGAAAAUGACAACAUUUAAUAAGGACAUGGAUGAAGGACCAUACGUCCUUUUGUAUCCUGACUGCUCGGAGGUGGUCCAUGUGCCUGGGACAGAAAGGCCAUUCAAAUUGACUGAAUAUAAAAAGGAAAUUGGGAAGGCAUAUUCCAGGAUCACUUUUUUCCUUUGCCUAGAAACACACUUUAAAGGAGUGGAUGAUACCCCAGACUCUAAUACCCCAGACUCUGAUACCUCAGAUUCUGAAAUUGUGAUCACAUCCAGGAGCACAGCUCAUUCAAUCAGGCUGACACUGUGGUGUUUGAACCACAAAACCAAAGUACACCCAAACGCAAACCUGAAGAUGAAGGAGAUGCUCCUGGAACUCCACAGCUCAACCUGGAAAGAUAGUAAUAUCUGAUAGUGAGGAUCUGGAGCCACAUGAAACAAGUCCAGUCAGGACUACAGUAAAUACACAGCCCUGUAUGCACCUGUGUUGAGGAAAAGGAUGAGGAGUUGGUUGCAGACAAUAUGAAGAGUUUACAACACACACCAAUCGAGGAGAUGAACAUUACACUACCUGACAUUAUCGCCAACCUAUCACAUCCCAUUGAUCAUGGAAGAGUCAGCAGGUUCAACCUCUCAAGGGCUAAUGUUUGGGAUGGAGCAGUCAGAGGUUUCAAGCGUACAACAUACUCUGAAACCUGUGACAUGCUGGUCAAAUUUACUGAUGAUGCUGGUGUUU